rnacentral:lncRNA from 1 species
UGCAACUACUUAUACAAUUUUAAAUAGUGUUGUAGAAGGGAAUAAGUCAAUAUGAAUAGCUUUGAUUUCUGUAUAGGAUGUAAUAUUAAUACUGUUAUAUAUUUUAUAUGUAAUGACUUCACUUUGUAAACUCCUUUCUCUCUUCCUCAGGAGUUCAGCUGUCUGUGAUCCAAGACACAACUGUGUAACCCUCUCUGACUUGUGAGGAAAUUGUUAAAUUCUGAGCAAGAAAUGUGAAAAAGUUGAUAGAGUGGACUUCUGCAAGUUAAGAGAGGUAAAAUUGAAGACAGAGGGAACGAUCUUAAACAAAUUUAAAAUGCAUUCUGAAGAUGAAAAGAAGCAGAAGCGUACUGCAGAUGGAAAUAGUCAUGAGAUCACUGCAUCCAGCCAGGGUCAUGAAUCUGAAGACAAACACAAGGGAAAGAAGAAGAAGAAAGUGGAAAAGGCUAAGAUGGUCAGCCCAUUUACACUGGUAAGAUUUAUUCUCUCUCUCUAUGUAUACAUAUAUAUACAUGCAUGCACAUUUCAAAGUGUAAACAAAAAUAGUUAAAAUUAUGUUAGAGUA